rnacentral:rRNA from 1 species
UCCAGACUCCUACGGGAGGCAGCAGUGGGGAAUAUUGGGCAAUGGGCGCAAGCCUGACCCAGCAACGCCGCGUGAAGGAAGAAGGCUUUCGGGUUGUAAACUUCUUUUCUCAGGGACGAAGAAAGUGACGGUACCUGAGGAAUAAGCCACGGCUAACUACGUGCCAGCAGCCGCGGUAAUACGUAGGUGGCAAGCGUUAUCCGGAUUUAUUGGGUGUAAAGGGCGUGUAGGCGGGAGCGCAAGUCAGAUGUGAAAACUCAGGGCUCAACCUGGAGACUGCACUUGAAACUGGGUGUCUUGAGGGCACGAGAGGAAAGUGGAAUUCCUAGUGUAGCGGUGAAAUGCGUAGAUAUUAGGAGGAACACCAGUGGCGAAGGCGACUUUCUGGACUGUACCUGACGCUGAGGCGCGAAAGCGUGGGUAGCGAACGGGAUUAGAUACCCUCGUAC